rnacentral:rRNA from 1 species
GGCAGCAGCUAAGAAUAUUCCGCAAUGGACGAAAGUCUGACGGAGCGACGCCGCGUGGAUGAUGAAGGCCGAAAGGUUGUAAAAUCCUUUUGAACUGGACGAAUAAGUGUGGCAGGGAAUGGUCAUAUGGUGACGGUACAGUUUGAAUAAGAGGCGGCUAAUUACGUGCCAGCAGCCGCGGUAACACGUAAGCCUCGAGCGUUGUUCGGAAUUAUUGGGCGUAAAGGGCAUGUAGGCGGCCAUCUAAGCUUGGCGUGAAAGGCAGGAGCUCAACUCCUGGACUGCGUUGAGAACUGGAUGACUAGAGUUACUGAAGUGGAAUCAGAAUUCCAGGUGUAGGGGUGAAAUCUGUAGAUAUCUGGAAGAAUACCAAUGGCGAAGGCAGGUUUCAGGCAGAUAACUGACGCUGAGGUGCGAAGGUGCGGGGAGCAAACAGGAUUAGAUACCCUGGUAGUCCGCACAGUCAACGAUGUACACUAGAUGUCUGGUCAUGAGAUCGGGUGUCGAAGCAAACGCGAUAAGUGUACCGCCUGGGGAGUAUGCCCGCAAGGGUGAAACUCAAAGGAAUUGACGG